UGCGUAGAAAGCACUAUAGUGCUUGGCUAGUUGGCUCCGUGAAAAAUCCCAAAAAAACCUGAGAUUUUUUGGUUUUUGGGAAAAAAUUGCUGAUUUUCCGAUAGAUGCGGUUCGUCCUUAUAGUUUUGUGGUGUUUUUCUUGGCGAUAGUGCGAUCUUUGAUGAAAAAAGACGAUAUUUAAAAACUCUCUGACGUUUUGUUGUCAAAAUGUCAGCGGCAUUAAAUUGAAUGGAUUUUUGAGGAGUGGAGGUUUGGAGGAUUUUUCCACUAUGGAAAUGGAAAGUUUUUAUGCAGAAAAUGUCAGUUUAAUAAUCCAAGGAAAAUGGCAAGCAAAACUGUACGUUCACAACUUAGUUGCUUGUCCCAAUCGUGGCUUGCAUCCAACCGCCCCUGAAGAUGCAAGCAGAUGGUGAUAGCGAAACAUCAAGCAGAAAUUAUUUUCUAAAGCGGCCUAAAAGCGAAAAACUGCGUUAUUGUGAUUAGUAAAAAAAGCACCUGAAUGAAAUGAGUAAUACGCAAAACAGACAGAUCCGAAAUAGAAUGCGUGGGACAGCAUGAAUAUUUUAUUAAUCAUCAGGAUGAUAUGUGUGCAACAUUUCGCUAUAAAAAUGAUAAACUGAA